AGUGAACGCUGGCGGUAGGCCUAACACAUGCCAGUCGAACGGCAGCACAGUAAGAUCUUGCUCUUACGGGUGGCGAGUGGCGGACGGGUGAGGAAUACAUCGGAAUCUACUUUUUCGUGGGGGAUAACGUAGGGAAACUUACGCUAAUACCGCAUACGAUCUACGGGUGAAAGCAGGGGAUCUUCGCACCUUGCGCGAUUGAAUGAGCCGAUGUCGGAUUAGCUAGUUGGCGGGGUAAAGGCCCACCAAGGCGACGAUCCGUAGCUGGUCUGAGAGGAUGAUCAGCCACACUGGAACUGAGACACGGUCCAGACUCCUACGGGAGGCAGCAGUGGGGAAUAUUGGACAAUGGGCGCAAGCCUGAUCCAGCCAUACCGCGUGGGUGAAGAAGGCCUUCGGGUUGUAAAGCCCUUUUGUUGGGAAAGAAAAGCAGCAGGUUAAUACCCCGCUGUUCUGACGGUACCCAAAGAAUAAGCACCGGCUAACUUCGUG
rnacentral:rRNA from 1 species